rnacentral:rRNA from 1 species
UACACCUCAUGUGUGUAGGAUAGUAUCAUCAUACUCAGUACGCCGUGCCAUGCCUACGAUACUAGUAGAAUGGUUCAUCUCGAGCAGCUCGAUCUUCUUGUGUCGUGUGCGUCACACCUCACGACAUGUGAGACGCGGCAGCAUUAUACUCUAGAGGCAGCGGUGUUAUUCAUCUCUCGCCUGCGGCUCGACUCUACCCCCGCCUCUUCGAUGUCAAGACACACACACGUGUGAAAAUCAUUUUCUCGCGGUGUGAUAUAUGAGGUAACUCAAAGAAAAACCCCCCGAAAUAUCUUCACCCACACCACCGCAUAUUUUAGGGGGGCCCGAGCUUUUUGAAGAAAUUUGCUGUAUAAAACCCCCUGGUAGGGCAUCAUAAGAUAAGGGGGUUAAUUCGGGGUUUUUAAAAUGAAACACCCUCCACAACGUGGGGGGGGGGGAAUAGAAAAAGGGGAGGGGAAAACCAGUGGGGAGGGGUAAAUUCUCGGGGAUUUUGUUGAAAACCCAGUGGGGACAACGGAGCCCAAAAGUUCCCCUUACGGCCCCCAAGUCUUGGAAAACCCGGGUUUUAUAUGAUGUUUUUUUAUCAGCUCAGAACGAACGCUGGCGGCAGGCUUAACACAUGCAAGUCGAGCGCCCCGCAAGGGGAGCGGCAGACGGGUGAGUAACGCGUGGGAAUCUACCCUUUUCUACGGAAUAACGCAGGGAAACUUGUGCUAAUACCGUAUAAGCCCUUUGGGGGAAAGAUUUAUCGGGAAAGGAUGAGCCCGCGUUGGAUUAGCUAGUUGGUGGGGUAAAGGCCUACCAAGGCGACGAUCCAUAGCUGGUCUGAGAGGAUGAUCAGCCACAUUGGGACUGAGACACGGCCCAAACUCCUACGGGAGGCAGCAGUGGGGAAUAUUGGACAAUGGGCGCAAGCCUGAUCCAGCCAUGCCGCGUGAGUGAUGAAGGCCCUAGGGUUGUAAAGCUCUUUCACCGGUGAAGAUAAUGACGGUAACCGGAGAAGAAGCCCCGGCUAACUUCGUGCCAGCAGCCGCGGUAAUACGAAGGGGGCUAGCGUUGUUCGGAAUUACUGGGCGUAAAGCGCACGUAGGCGGACAUUUAAGUCAGGGGUGAAAUCCCGGGGCUCAACCCCGGAACUGCCUUUGAUACUGGGUGUCUAGAGUAUGGAAGAGGUGAGUGGAAUUCCGAGUGUAGAGGUGAAAUUCGUAGAUAUUCGGAGGAACACCAGUGGCGAAGGCGGCUCACUGGUCCAUACUGACGCUGAGUCGAAGAGGAC